GAUUACAAGACUGAAAUGGGAGCCUCUAAGUUCCUUAAACAAGCGGCCUUCAAAAUGCAGAGUGUGCACUCUAGGGGCACUAGCUCCUCUCCUCUACUAAGCCAAAAUCUCAAAGGCUAGCAUACAUUGGAGCAUCUUCCCUUGAUGGAACAGCCCUCUCAGGGAGCCACAUAGAAAACAGGUUGUGAGUUGCCCUAUGAGGUGGGACACAUUGCAACAAACUAAGGGAGGCCUUUGGGCAACACCCAGUGAAGAACUGAGGCCUUGGUCCAAUGGCCCAUGAGAAUCCAAAUCCUGCCAACAACCAUGUGUGUAAACUUCGAAGUGGACCUUCUGAGGCCUGCCAACAGCUAUAUGAGCAAGCUUGCAAGCAAAUCCACCCCAGUUGAGCCUUGAGAUGCUACAGUCCCAGCUGACACCUUAAUGCUGCCGGUGAGAGCCGGAGCAGAGGACCCAGUUAGACUGUGCCCAAACUCCUGGCCCACAGAGACUGUGAGAUCGUAAAUAUGUGUUGUUUUAAGCUGAUAAGCUCUGGGGUGAUUGGUUAUGCAGUGAUAGACAACUAAUGCAAAAAGGUAUAAAGAAUAACCUGGUGAAUACUUGUGUAUGGCCCAUGUAGCAUGCAGCCUUAGAAAAAAACAAAUUACAAAGAUACUUAAAGCCCCUUCCUUGUAUUCUACCUUCAUCACUUUCCCCUCCUUCCUCUCCAGAUGCUCUCUGGAACCAGACUGAAAUUGAAAUGCAAGAUAUAUAUAUAUAUAUAUAUAUCACAGAAUCUCUGUCACUAAAUAUUCUCCCAGAGGCAAAGGAGCUGGGAUAUUUACACCCUGACUCUCAUCAUUAAGUGGAUGGCUCUUGGAGGGUAUUUGAACUCUCUCACACAUCUGGACUGCCAAGGUAACCAUCAGAGGGGUCUUCUCUGUCUUUAGAGAAAGCUUGAAUACACACACACACACACACACACACACACACACACACACACACAAAAUCCCCCUUAACAACAAAUAGCUUUGUAUAUAUUUACCUAUCUAUAUAUAAAUGGUAUUAUAUUUCAUGUAUCUUUCUGCAAUGAGAUAUUUUCCUCAACAGUACGUUAUAUAUAUAUAGAUAUAUAUAUAUAUCCAUGUUUUAAGCCAGUCAACUUUCAUUCCUGUAUAGUAGUCCAUUUUUUAGUUACAACACAAUUUAUCCCUCCUCCCACCAAUCAUAAGGUACGAUAUUUUGUUAAGUCAUAUGAAAUUGCCAAUGUUCAGCCAUUUUUUGCCUACAAAAAUAGCUCUUUCAUAUGAUCCAACCUAACCGAUUUUCAUACACACAAACAACGGCCCUUUACUGACAAUGAUAAUGCUACUGAUGGUAAUUAUUAUAUCAUUAUCUAAACUGAUUCUUGGAAUGGGCAUCUGAGUCAGACAGCCCUGGCUGUAGAGCUCAACGCUGCCACUUCCUACCAGUACAGCUUUGGGAAAAUUACUUAACUUCUCUCCAUUUUCUUCAUCUAUAAAGUGGAGAUGAUGCUAGUAACUACUUUAUAGAGCUAAGUAAGGAUUUCAUAUGAUGAUGAACAUACAGCCAGGUACAUGGUGAGUACCCAGUAAGCAUCAGCUCUUGCUGUGGUUGUUUCUUUAAUCAUCUUUGUGAUGGACUUAAACCUGACAUUGACCCUUUUCCACACUAAGGCUCUAUAGAGGAGCCCUCCUGGCAUGGCCAUUUGCGUGGUCUGUGCAGCCUUCGCUUCUUGCUCCAGCUUGCCCUCCUUGCCUUCCCCAGACUCCUGUUUCUUCUGGCUUUGGCCAGAAAUUCCAAGAGAAAAUCUUCUCUCAUCUUGGAUAAGACUUCUAAAUCAGCCUGCUCAGAUAGAAAAAGCUCAGAAUUCUAGGAACAAUCUUUCCUGCAGUCCAGAUGUUUCUGUCACUCCCAGUCCCAACCUAGGAAGUAUUUCAAAAGAAAGAAACAAUUGAAAAUAAAAUCCAGACUUGAUUCCCCUCCAUAGGCUAACUCAAAACCCCUUUAAAUGUAGUCUGGGAUUGAAGGCCAGUUUCAACAGAAUGUGUAUUUUAUCCAAACCCGUCUGCUCUUCUCUCUUGCCAGCAACACAUUUUAAAAAAUCUAAUCUCUGUUUUCUUUACAUGAAUCUAGACCAAAUGUGAUUUCUC
rnacentral:lncRNA from 10 species